rnacentral:rRNA from 1 species
CGUAGGUGGAUAAGCAAAAAUAUAGUAAAAAACUGAGGCAAACCCUCUUUUAUCUUUAUUGACUACUUAUUUGAGUUUUAAGGGCGAUAUAUUGAAUUCUUGUAGUAAGGGUGAAAUUGUUGAUAGUGGAAGACGUUCAAAGGCGAAAGCGAUUAUCGACUUAAAUCUGACACUAGGUACUAAAGUAUGGGUAUAAAGAGGAUUAGAGACCUUGUAGUCCAUACCUUAAACAAUGAGUAUUAACGUCCUUAAACAAGCAAAAUACUUUUUUUGUAGGAGUUUAAAGGGGGUUUAAAGCUAACGCGUGAAAUACCGCCUGGGGAAUGUGGCGCAAGGUCUAAACUAAAGGAAUUGACGGAGGUUGUACAAGG